GUCCUUGUAGCUUAAACAAAGCAUGACGCUGAAGACGUCAAGAUGGCUGCCACCAGCACCCAAGGACA
rnacentral:tRNA from 1 species